rnacentral:lncRNA from 1 species
AGGGACUGGCUGGAGUGUGGCGGGCUGACAGGUCUGAGGCCUGAAGGACUUCCGGGAACCGCAAAGCACGGUGUGCCUCCGCUGUCCUGAAGAAAAAGCCGCGCGCGGACGACUGGCCGGCCCGCGCUUGCAGCUCCCAGAAGUUGACAGGCAUCCUCCGGUGACCGGUGUGAGUAUGGCAUCAGGAUGAUUUGACUGCAAGCAACAGAAAAAUCAAACAAAAAUGGCCUAAGCCAAGAAGAGAAAUGAUUAUUUCACAUUCCAAGAAGUUUGGGAGUCGAGUGGUUAAACGGCUAAUUAAUCUAGAGCUCAACAGUAUCACCCAGGACCCAUUUUCACUAUGGUGGCUAAAGCUCUGCACCCUUCAGGCUUGCACCAUGGCAGCAGCAGUGACAGUAAAGACACCCUUACACCACAAUGCUCCAUGACCAGGGAGAGGGUCUCCUCUCUCCUGCCCCUUUCUGGAGGCUCCACCGAAGAUUUCUCUUCACAUUCCGUUUCUCAUUCCUGAAGCAGUUGCUGGCAACAGGGAUGGACUUACCGCAAUGGGUACAGAGCAACUAAGAUUCACCACUAGAUCUGCAUUGUAAGAAAAAUGAGAAGAAUUCCUUCAGGAAGAAGAAAAAUGAUACCAGAUGGAUAUGUGGAUCCACAUAAAGGAACGAAGAGCACAGGAAAUAGUAACUAUACUGCCUAUGUGGUGAAUUUUAUUAGUGGAUUGCCCAAUGAUAAAUAAGGUUUCCUUCGUCAGUCCAGGCAGGACUGUGCGGUUGGAAAAGGGACGGAUGCUGGUCCUGGAAGGGGCGUCGUUAUCUAGAAGCUCCCAACCUAAGUGGGUGACUCAUAGGGAGGGCAAGGAGAGAAGGACACAGCAAGCAACUUACAUGUAAAACAAGACGUGUGGGUUAUUAUGGAAGAAAUUCACAACCAAACUUGGGGUUAGCCCGUAUUGUUUUCCAAGAACUCUAUGUGGACAGUGACAAAAAACAGACCUAAGAACUAGCAGACUGGGCAAAGCUUUUUCACAUAACAACAACAAAAAAAGCAAUUCCUCAGGAAAAAAUGGUCAAUGGGUCAUUGUGUGUAGACAAAACUACAAGUUCUGCUCCAGACUCUGGGGAAACCAUGCUGCCAUCUUCAAGCUGUGGCCAUUCUGUAAUACAGACUACGCUAAAUCACAUGUUGUCAUCAAGGCAGAAUAUUUUGUUCCUUUAUGGGUCAGCCUGGGAUACAAAAUUAGAGAAACUUUGCAAUGAAAAAUCCCUUGUGUCUCAUUGAACUUUUUCCUUAAUUCAAACCUUUCCUUUCACAGUUUUGAUUAGUGCCUUUGCCCAUGUGGACAAUAUUUUAUGAUCAGGUUUUAAGAGUAAUCCAUCCAUGGCUGCUUGGCUGCCUGGAACUUAAAACAACGACAACAACAAUGUCCAGAUAAACCCAAUAAAAUAGGUUUUUAAAUGUGUGUGUGUGUGUGUGUGUGUGUCUGUGUGUGUGUGUGUUGUGCUGAUCUUUAGCCUUGAAGCUUCACUCUUUCCCCUCUUCUGAAGAAAAGGUGUUUGCAGGGUGGCUGAACUUGCCAAACGCUGACGCAGAGUAGAUCCAGCCUGGCAGCUGUCUACAAUUCCUUGAUGGGCCUCUUCUACAAAGAAGAUUGAUGUGAGUCAGCAAAGCCCUCAUUAAGUGAGUCACAUCAUUAAUAAAAGGCGCAGAUUGCAAA